rnacentral:sRNA from 1 species
UAUCCACGGAACAGAUACAGCACAGACAGGGGCAGUACAACUUUACCUACACUGCUCUGACAACGUGUCAACUCUGCUCUGGAAGGAACACAGCUAGGGAUG